UACAGAGGUCUCAAGCGUUGUUCGGAUUCAUUGGGCGUAAAGGGCGCGUAGGCUGCGGGGCAAGUCGGGUGUGAAAUCUCAGAGCUCAACUCUGAAACUGCACUCGAUACUGCUUUGCUUGAGGACUGGAGAGGAGAUUGGAAUUCACGGUGUAGCAGUGAAAUGCGUAGAUAUCGUGAGGAAGACCAGUGGCGAAGGCGGAUCUCUGGACAGUUCCUGAUGCUGAGGCGCGAAGGCCAGGGGAGCAAACGGG
rnacentral:rRNA from 1 species